rnacentral:lncRNA from 1 species
AUACGUGAAAAUCACUAUAUACAUCUGUUUCUUGAAGUCAAGAGGUCUACAGAUUCUUCCCAACUCUUCCCUUAAAAACAACUAAACAUCAUGGAAAAAGUAUUUUAAACUCUCUUUUAAAAAAUAUAGUAAAGGGAUGGCAAUAAGAAAAAAGAAUGUAAGCAAUCAAAAACUCAGUAAACCUGAGAACCUAGAGGGAUAAAGAGGAAAAUGAAUUUGAGUUUCACCCUGAAGACACUUACCAAGUCUAAAUGAACUUAGUAUUGGGCUUUCACAGUCUCCCAGAAGACAUGAGACAAUGCCCAGGACCAACUUCAGAGGAAAGAAAAAAAAAUUGCUUUGGAAACCUACAACUACAACAAACUCUCACAUAGAUUUGUACACCAAAUUUACACUAGCUACCAAAUUUACACUUAAACCAGCAAAAGCUGGUUUAAGAUACAAGGAUUUUAAUCUCAAAUCUUCCUAACAUAGUAGUGCUCCAGAUGUAUGGUGGAAGUAAAUGCCAACCAUUUGUGGAGUAGACAACCCUCAGCCUACAUCUCAAAGGAAGGCAAGCUUAUAGAAAUUUCCAGUAUGAAAUCUACUGAGAUACAGUGGUGGAGAAUGUCUUUUGACUUUUACUUGAUACUGGCAAGCCAAAUGACUUAUUGUAAAGAGGAUCAAACACAAGCAACACUGCCAACUCACAUGGGAUUUGGCUCCAUCUGAGGUCAGGACCUCACUGCUAACCUCAAAAGGCCCACAGCCCUGAUUACAACUUCUGCCACCUAGAUCCUGAAUCCAUAGAUGCCAUCUCUGCUCCGAAGUCUGAUGACAAGAAUAAUGAUGAUGACUGAUGAUGACAAACUGUUCUAAAUGCCUUCUGUGUAUUAUCUCAUGCGAUCCUCAGAGCAACCCUUUGAAAGUAGAUACACUACUAUUCCAUUUCACAAAUGAGGAGGCUGAAGCCCGGAAAGACUUAGAAAAUUUCCAAGGCCUUAUCAAUAUUAUGUCUGAAGUAGCUUCAGACCACUUGUCUUCAUCACUCCCCAUUAAGCCUGCUGGGUUUUCCCUCUGAAGUUCUCCUAAAGAACAUAUCCACACUAAUUAUUCUGACAGUUUUGACAGGAAGACAGAGGAGGGCUUACACUAUGCACCAAUAGCAAACAACUAUUAAUAAAGUUUCAUAUUAAUUAUGUUCUCCAAAAUCCCUUCUUGACAAUCUUAUCCCUUCCAUGGCAUUUCUCUGUGUUGCCUCCAUCCAUAAACCUCAGCAGGUUGUCAGUUGUCAGCAACUUGAGAAUCCCCUGCAAACUUUUGGUUCUCUUUCCUCAAUUCUAUAGAACAUUCAGCUCUAUUCAGUCCUUGCUCCUUGGCUAGCCUACAAUACUACCCAGGUGUUCAGCUACAAACUGCCUUCCCCAGAAUGAAUACCACAUACUCAGAAGGUAAUCAUGGUAUAUGGUGCUGAGAUAUGGUGUUUCUAUUAGAAUUUGUUUCUAUGUGCUUACAAAGCCUUUAUAAUUAUAAUUUUAAUGGCUCACUAAAUUAUCUCCUGCUCAUGUUACAUAGUAAGCCAUUUUUAAUUGUUGAAUAUUUUGGUGGUUUUGUUUGUUUUA